rnacentral:rRNA from 1 species
UACGUAGGUGGCAAGCGUUGUCCGGAUUACUGGGCGUAAAGAGCGCGCAGGCGGUCGUUCAAGUCGCGUGUGAAAGCCCCCGGCUCAACUGGGGAGGGUCACGCGAUACUGAUCGACUCGAAGGCAGGAGAGGGUAGUGGAAUUCCCGGUGUAGUGGUGAAAUGCGUAGAUAUCAGGAGGAACGCCAAUGGCGAAGGCAAGUCUCUGGACAGUUCCUGACGCUCAUGCACGAAGGCCAGGGGAGCAAACGGG